AUCAAGAAAGGUGGGAGGGGUCGGGCGCGGUGGCUCACGCCUGUCAUCCCAGCACUUUGGGAGGCCGAGGCGGGUGUAUCACCUGAGGUCAGACCAGCCUGGCCAACAUAGUGAAACCCUCCCCCUCUACUAAAAAUACAAAAAUUACCUGGGCAUGGUGGCGGGUGCCUGUAAUCCCAGCUACUCGGGAGGCUGAGGCAGGAGAAUUGCUUGAACCCGGGAGGUGGAGGUUGCAGUAAGCCAAGAUUGCACCAUUGCACUCUAGCCGGGGCGACAGGGCGAGACUCCGUCUCAAAAAAAAAAAAAAAAGAAAAAUGAAAGGUGGGAGGGGCCGGUGCGAGCAGUUGGGGUCCUGCUCUUUGGGGUGCGACCUCAGCCCAGGCAGGGCCUCCCUCCGUGGGACACAGUCCCGUGGGUUGGGCGGGGGAAAGAUACAUAGCCAGACAGGAGUGAAGGGGGCUCACUCGGUACAGCGAUGGGGGAUGUCCAGACGCGGGGCACUCAGGUGGGGAGCUGGAGCCGGCUGAGCAGCGCUGACCUAGGGUGCGGGGCGUGGUCCCUGGAGGCCUGGGAGGUUGACCCUGCCCUUCCCCUCCCCCGCCAGAAGACUCGAGCUCUGGGCUCAUGAACACUCUCCUGAAUGGACACAAGGGUGGGGACUGCGAUGGCUUCUCCACCUUCGAUGUUCCCAUCUUCACUGAAGAGUUCUUGGACCAAAACAAAGCGCGCGAGGCGGAGCUUCGGCGCUUGCGGAAGAUGAAUGUGGCCUUCGAGGAGCAGAACGCGGUACUGCAGAGGCACACGCAGAGCAUGAGCAGCGCGCGCGAGCGUCUGGAGCAGGAGCUGGCGCUGGAGGAGCGGAGGACGCUGGCGCUGCAGCAGCAGCUCCAGGCCGUGCGCCAGGCGCUCACCGCCAGCUUCGCCUCACUGCCGGUGCCGGGCACGGGCGAAACGCCCACGCUGGGCACUCUGGACUUCUACAUGGCCCGGCUUCACGGAGCCAUCGAGCGCGACCCCGCCCAGCACGAGAAGCUCAUCGUCCGCAUCAAGGAAAUCCUGGCCCAGGUCGCCAGCGAGCACCUGUGAGGAGUGGGCGGGCCCACGAUGCAGAGGAGAAGCUGUGGGCGCGGUCCUGCCACACCCCACCCCGUGGACGAGAGGCUGGGGGUCCACCCUUUGGGGCCUGGUCCCAUCCUGCACCUUGGGGGCUCCAGCCCCCCUAAAAUUAAAUUUCUG
rnacentral:sRNA from 1 species